UUUGCUUCAGUUGGUUGAACAUAUAGAGCUUGACACCCUAAAAGUGUGUUUGGUAACAGUAAGUGAAGCUAUAUAGACUUGUUCCUCUAGCUCUCUAGUGUUAUAUUUUACAUAGAACAUUUGGACGUUGGGGAACUACAUAU